CUUCCCAAAGUGCUGGGAUUACAGACAUGAGCCACCCCACUCAGCUUUGUUUCCUUCAUGUAGCCCAGAGGGCGACACUAUAAGCCCCAUUUUACAGAUGAGAAAACUGAGAUCCCGACAGAUGAGGUGACUUGCUGGAAGCUGCAGACCCAGGACUAACAGAAGCCUUUUCCCCAAAACUGUUUAGUCUUCAGCAACCAGCUAUGGGAUGGGAGCUCCCCAUUUCUCCCCACCCAUCCCCUCUUGCCACCUAGGGACAGAGCUGUCCCAGUUCAACAGUGGAAAAACAGAGCAUGCCCCCAGGGAUAAGUCGGUUGAGGGACUACAGAGGAUCUCUCCUCUGGAAUCCCCAGUCCUGUCUACUCCUCACCAAGGAGCUCACCCCCACCCCAGGGCUUCCUGAGGCUGCGGUGGUCACGCUUCGCCCGUGUCCUCCUCACCCGCUCCUGCGCCAUCCUGCCCACCGUGCUCGUGGCUGUCUUCCGGGACCUGAGGGACUUGUCGGGCCUCAAUGAUCUGCUCAACGUGCUGCAGAGCCUGCUGCUCCCGUUCGCCGUGCUGCCCAUCCUCACGUUCACCAGCAUGCCCACCCUCAUGCAGGAGUUUGCCAAUGGCCUGUGAGUACCCCCUUUCCUAAGUGCUGGAUUGCAUCACCACAUUUCAUCCUCACAGCCACCCAGAGGUACGAGCUACAAUUCUCCCCAUUAUCCCAAUGAAGCCACAGAGGCUGAGAGAGGUUAAGGGACUUGCCCAGGUUCACACAGCUAGCAAGUUGGGGAGCCAAGACUGGAAUCCAGGGCAGAGGGCUGUUUCUAGAGCCUGAGCUCCUCACUCUCGCCUCAGACUCAGCUCUUGCCAAAUCCCGCCAGUGUGUAGCCUGGAGGGCCCAGGAGGCAGGAGGUGGGGAGGGGGUCUGUCUGCUCCAGGUCCCACAGCCCAGAGAAGUGGCCUCGGUGUAUCCCCACCCACAAUGUGGGCGCUGGGAGAUGAAGAGGAGUUGAUGCAGGUGGGCCAGCAGCAACCAGCCAGUCCUGAGCCUCUCUCGUGUCCCCCAGGCUG
rnacentral:sRNA from 1 species